rnacentral:snRNA from 1 species
AAGUGAAAACAUAAAGAA